GCCAGUGUGGUGUAGUGGUUUGAACAUUUAUAGACUAUGAUUUUGGAGACCAGGGUUUGAUUCCCUGCUCAGCCA